GAGGGGAUCUACAUCGAUAACGUAGCAAUUAUAUAUUCUUUUACUUUUUCUAUAUUAUCCAUUUACCUUCCUACUUUUCCCGAUGCUAAUGUUCCACUGGUUAUUGAGAUUUAUUACGAAGAGAAAGAGAAAAAGAAGGUUUGGAUUCAUGUGGAUGCUGUGUUCCACCAGCACAGGAGAAUCCAAAGCAGGUGGCCGUUGCUGUUUUACUCCAGUAGAACCACCACGUUCUGUAGCCGCAGCCUGCAACAUUAAAGAAAAUUGCUGAUUUAUUUGUUUUUGUUUUUCUGGAAGAGAGGGGAAAAAAACAGUUUGUGAACUGUUCAUGCCUGUUUUUCUCAUGCGCCAUCAAGAACAAGAUCCUGCCCUGAUUCAAUUCACUUUUGUAGAUGCACAUCGUGGCAUUUCAGUCGCUGCCGGGAACAAUUUAUUUCUGCUCCACUUCAACUGCAAUACAAGAUGGCAGAGGGUGAUAAUGAUGAGAGCAGGAGAAAUUGACGGAGACAAUGGGUGGCCUUUCUUUCUUCUCCAUUAUCUGAGAACUUCUGGUCCAUCGUUCUUAAGGAAUCAGAUAUCUCCCCUUUCCCAUCCACAUCAUCAGAUUCUUGCCUGGAAACCAGGAAAUCAGUGGUAGUUUGCAGUAAGGGUAUAGUUUGGCUUGGUAAAUUAGUCAUUUCAUCACUGUCAUGGUUCUCAUUUCAGUGAAACUGGCAAGUGUUUUUUUCUUCUAAUAUAUCGAAACAAAAUGGCAAAUAGAAUUCUAGCAUUAAUUUGCACCCAUUCUUUAUUUAA